GUUGGGUAGAGCAGAGUGACCUGUAGGAAGAAUAGAUUACUCUGGAUGCUAUGCUGAGAAGAAACUGAAGACAAUGGUGGAAGUGGGAAAGCUUAUGACUCAGAAUAACUAUUUCUAAUAAAAAAUUUUAAGUUCUCUGCCUGCAGAGCAGCUGACACAAAUCUUCAACUCAUUGAUGAUGGCAUCUGACAGUUUCAGGUAUUAAGAAGAGAGAAAGAAUCUGAGAAAUUAUGGCGUACUCAACUGUGGACAGCUGAAAGUCUGGCAUAGCAUGCCCUCAUCAUCACAAAUGGGCUCGCAUUACAAGCUACACUUAUGCGACAACUAUCAGCAUUUGUCAACUGGCACUCAGAUUUGAAGCCUCAUUUCACAACUGGAGCAAGAGAGGACAGGAAGGAAAAAUCAGAGUAAGGUUUCAAUGAGUUUCUGCAAAUUCUCAGAAGUUUUGCUGCCACUCAGUGUCACAAUAACAAAAAGAAAUAAAAAUAGCUGAUAUUUACUAAACA
rnacentral:antisense_RNA from 1 species